rnacentral:piRNA from 1 species
UGAGGAAUGGCGGCUAUAAAGUUCGCCGAAUU